GUAGGGAAUAUUGGACAAUGGGGGCAACCCUGAUCCAGCGACGCCGCGUGAGUGAUGAAGGCCUUCGGGUCGUAAAGCUCUGUUGCAGGGGAAGAACACAAUGACGGUACCCUGCUAGAAAGGAUCGGCUAACUUCGUGCCAGCAGCCGCGGUAAGACGAGGGAUCCUAGCGUUGUUCGGAAUUAUUGGGCGUAAAGUGGGUGCAGGUGGCUUGGUAAGUCAGAUGUGAAAGCCUGGGGCUUAACCCCAGAAGUGCAUUUGAUACUGCUGAGCUUGAGUGCUGGAGAGGCUAUUAGAAUUCCUGGUGUAGUGGUGAAAUACGUAGAUAUCAGGAGGAAUACCGGAGGCGAAGGCGGAUAGCUGGCCAGACACUGACACUCAGACCCGAAAGCGUGGGGAGCAAACAGGAUUAGAAACCCCAGUAGUCC
rnacentral:rRNA from 1 species